rnacentral:rRNA from 1 species
UACGUAGGGUGCAAGCGUUAAUCGGAAUUACUGGGCGUAAAGCGUGCGCAGGCGGUUGUGCAAGACAGGUGUGAAAUCCCCGGGCUUAACCUGGGAACUGCGCUUGUAACUGAGAGGCUAGAGUGUGGCAGAGGGGGGGUGGAAUUCCACGUGUAGCAGUGAAAUGCGUAGAGAUGUGGAGGAACACCGAUGGCGAAGGCAGCCCCCCUGGGCUAACACUGACGCCUCAUGCACGAAAGCGUGGGGAGCGAACAAGG